GGAGGGGUGUCCGAGCGGUCUAAGGAGGCGGUCUUGAAAACCGCUGAGCCCCUCGCGGGCUCCGUGGGUUCGAAUCCCACCCCCUCCG
rnacentral:tRNA from 1 species